CUCUUGUACACGUAAAGAUACAAUUCUUGUUUAAGAGGAGAAGACAUGAAAGAUCCAGCCCUCCUGCUUGCUGUAGUUUACACCUCAAAAGCAUACACAAAGUGAGGACCACUUCCAAGCUUGGACACUCCUCUGGCCAACAAUGAGACAUCACAGUGCUACAAACACGUCAGCGGGUGAGGUCCACCAGAUACAGCUUAUUCAGACAACAAAGAUACAGAGUUCAGCUUGGGAUCUCCUCCACAUUUGCUGCAGCCCAUGAUCCAGAGAGAUGCACAGUGAGUCAUGUGCUCCACCACCAAGAUGUUCUCCUUUAAAUUCAGUCUUUGGUACAUCCAGUCACAAGUUGAGGUUUGAGGUGCCUUGGGCUGCAGAGCAUCUCCAUUACUGCUCUGUUGCAGAAGAAAGCCCUCAGAACCUGGCCUUGAUGUUUUAUUUCUUUUUUCUCCUCAUUCUAUGUGAUUUCUCUAGCACUGUUAGAAACGGAAGAAAUGAAGCAAAGACAAA
ensembl:lncRNA